rnacentral:rRNA from 1 species
AUUGAACGCUGGCGGCAGGCCUAACACAUGCAAGUCGAACGGUAACAGGAAGCAGCUUGCUGCUUCGCUGACGAGUGGCGGACGGGUGAGUAAUGUCUGGGAAGCUGCCUGAUGGAGGGGGAUAACUACUGGAAACGGUAGCUAAUACCGCAUAAUGUCGCAAGACCAAAGAGGGGGACCUUCGGGCCUCUUGCCAUCGGAUGUGCCCAGAUGGGAUUAGCUUGUUGGUGGGGUAACGGCUCACCAAGGCGACGAUCCCUAGCUGGUCUGAGAGGAUGACCAGCCACACUGGAACUGAGAAACGGUCCAGACUCCUACGGGAGGCAGCAGUGGGGAAUAUUGCACAAUGGGCGCAAGCCUGAUGCAGCCAUGCCGCGUGUAUGAAGAAGGCCUUCGGGUUGUAAAGUACUUUCAGCGGGGAGGAAGGGAGUAAAGUUAAUACCUUUGCUCAUUGACGUUACCCGCAGAAGAAGCACCGGCUAACUACGUG